UUAGAUGGACCAUCACAAGUCCCAUAAACA
rnacentral:tRNA from 1 species